AUACAGAGGGUGCGAGCGUUAAUCGGAUUUACUGGGCGUAAAGCGCGCGUAGGUGGCUAAUUAAGUCAAAUGUGAAAUCCCCGAGCUUAACUUGGGAAUUGCAUUCGAUACUGGUUAGCUAGAGUAUGGGAGAGGAUGGUAGAAUUCCAGGUGUAGCGGUGAAAUGCGUAGAGAUCUGAAGGAAUACCGAUGGCGAAGGCAGCCAUCUGGCCUAAUACUGACACUGAGGUGCGAAAGCAUGGGGAGCAAACAGGAUUAGAUACCCUGGUAGUCCAUGCCGUAAACGAUGUCUACUAGCCGUUGGGGGAUUUGAUCCUUUAGUGGCGCAGCUAACGCGAUAAGUAGACCGCCUGGGGAGUACGGUCGCAUGUUUAAAACUCAAAUGAAUUGAUGGGG
rnacentral:rRNA from 1 species